ensembl:lncRNA
GUGCCUUUCUGCAGCCCCAGGAGGGCGGGGAGGGUGCAGGAGGUCAUCGUGGGGCUGGAGCGGCUGGCCUUCGCCUUCGAGAAGGAGGUGGAGACGCAGAAGGGCACUGGGCUUCUGAUUUCCAGGCCAUGGACAGGGACUGCAACAAUAAGGAACGUCCGUUCCUCCACGUGAAGCCGGCCUUCAAGACCCAGCACUGUCCGUGGUACGACCGAGGUUUCUGCAAGCACGCAGGUCCACUGUGUUAAGUACCGACAUGUCCGCAGGACAAAGUGUACUAACUACUUAAAGCUGGCUUCUGCCCGGAAGGACCCAGGUACCAAUUUGCACAGUACUGAGUUCAGAAAGGCUCCUCCUGAAACAUGUCCCAGCCCUGAACGCUUUAGAGUGGACCCCCGGUCGUCUUCAUCCCUCCGACGGAGGAGCCUGUGAGGUCCUGCUGGCCCAGGGCAGGGGUCGGCAGGCUUUCUGUGGAGGGUCAUAGCGGAACCACGUUCAACUCUGCAGGCUCUACGGUCUCUGCCGUGACGGCUCAGCUAGCGCUGCAGCCACAGCCAGCACCUGACCAACAACCCGGGCUGUGUCCCCGAGACCUCACGUACGGACAGGCCCACGCCGGCUCGUGCCUGUGGGUUCUCGUGGUCUGCGGACCCUGCUGGGGCGGGAGAGGACCCACGCAGAGGUCGUUCCCACCCACCUCUGCACCGAGCAGCUCUGACCCAGAGUGAGGCAGGGGGAGCUGCGGGAGGGCCUCCUCCCCACGCGUCUCUUCUGGGGCGUUUACAAAGAAAGGCCGCAGAGCCCUUCCAGAGGGGGUUCCGGUGACAUUCUCAGUCGCACUGAACUACCUACCUCUAUUUUAGUUAUACCUCUACCAUACUCUUCCUCAACUGUGAAUUUUUCCUUGUGGACAAUUCCAAUACACCUUCUCCUUAACUAGGAGAAUUUGAUGCAGAAUUAUACUCCCACUAGGGACAAUUAGAGAGGGUGGGGAGGCAGGGGACUGAAGAACAGAAAGGGGAGAUGAAGCCAGCAUCG